UACGGAGGGUGCGAGCGUUAAUCGGAAUAGCUGGGCGUAAAGGGCACGCAGGCGGGCUUUUAAGUGAGGUGUGAAAUCCCCGGGCUUAACCUGGGAAUAGCAUUUCAGACUGGGAGUCUAGAGUACUUUAGGGAGGGGUAGAAUUCCACGUGUAGCGGUGAAAUGCGUAGAGAUGUGGAGGAAUACCGAUGGCGAAGGCAGCCCCCUGGGAUAACACUGACGUUCAUGUGCGAAAGCGUGGGGAGCAAACAGG
rnacentral:rRNA from 1 species